GGCUGCCGCUUUGGCGGCAGUGCACAGGUGAGGAAAGUCCGGGCUUCAUAGGGCAGGAUGCCGGAUAACGUCCGGUGGAGGUGACUCCAAGGCCAGUGCAACAGAAAUAUACCGCCAACACUCAGUUGUGUGGAAGAAACGGCGCAGCCGGUUCUUCCGAUUGUAUAUAGCAUGCUGUAUACAAUCUGGUAAGGGUGGAAAGGCAGCUUAAGAGACUACCGUCCGUCUGGUAACAGACGGAGCCAUGUAAACCCCAUCCGAAGCAAGACCAAACAGAAAGCGACAGGCUUGCCCGGCCUGCUUUCAGGUGGGUCGCUUGAUACGGCUGGCAACAGCCGUACUAGAUAGAUGACCGUCCAACGACAUAACCCGGCUUAUCGUUUUGCUUAU
rnacentral:RNase_P_RNA from 1 species